rnacentral:rRNA from 2 species
GAACUCUGGUAUUGAUUGGUGCUUGCAUCAUGAUUUACAUUUGAGUGAGUGGCGAACUGGUGAGUAACACGUGGGAAACCUGCCCAGAAGCGGGGGAUAACACCUGGAAACAGAUGCUAAUACCGCAUAACAACUUGGACCGCAUGGUCCGAGUUUGAAAGAUGGCUUCGGCUAUCACUUUUGGAUGGUCCCGCGGCGUAUUAGCUAGAUGGUGAGGUAACGGCUCACCAUGGCAAUGAUACGUAGCCGACCUGAGAGGGUAAUCGGCCACAUUGGGACUGAGACACGGCCCAAACUCCUACGGGAGGCAGCAGUAGGGAAUCUUCCACAAUGGACGAAAGUCUGAUGGAGCAACGCCGCGUGAGUGAAGAAGGGUUUCGGCUCGUAAAACUCUGUUGUUAAAGAAGAACAUAUCUGAGAGUAACUGUUCAGGUAUUGACGGUAUUUAACCAGAAAGCCACGGCUAACUACGUGCCAGCAGCCGCGGUAAUACGUAGGUGGCAAGCGUUGUCCGGAUUUAUUGGGCGUAAAGCGAGCGCAGGCGGUUUUUUAAGUCUGAUGUGAAAGCCUUCGGCUCAACCGAAGAAGUGCAUCGGAAACUGGGAAACUUGAGUGCAGAAGAGGACAGUGGAACUCCCAUGUGUAGCGGUGAAAUGCGUAGAUAUAUGGAAGAACACCAGUGGCGAACGCGGCUGUCUGGUCUGUAACUGACGCUGAGGCUCGAAAGUAUGGGUAGCAAACAGGAUUAGAUACCCUGGUAGUCCAUACCGUAAACGAUGAAUGCUAAGUGUUGGAGGGUUUCCGCCCUUCAGUGCUGCAGCUAACGCAUUAAGCAUUCCGCCUGGGGAGUACGGCCGCAAGGCUGAAACUCAAAGGAAUUGACGGGGGCCCGCACAAGCGGUGGAGCAUGUGGUUUAAUUCGAAGCUACGCGAAGAACCUUACCAGGUCUUGACAUACUAUGCAAAUCUAAGAGAUUAGACGUUCCCUUCGGGGACAUGGAUACAGGUGGUGCAUGGUUGUCGUCAGCUCGUGUCGUGAGAUGUUGGGUUAAGUCCCGCAACGAGCGCAACCCUUAUUAUCAGUUGCCAGCAUUAAGUUGGGCACUCUGGUGAGACUGCCGGUGACAAACCGGAGGAAGGUGGGGAUGACGUCAAAUCAUCAUGCCCCUUAUGACCUGGGCUACACACGUGCUACAAUGGAUGGUACAACGAGUUGCGAACUCGCGAGAGUAAGCUAAUCUCUUAAAGCCAUUCUCAGUUCGGAUUGUAGGCUGCAACUCGCCUACAUGAAGUCGGAAUCGCUAGUAAUCGCGGAUCAGCAUGCCGCGGUGAAUACGUUCCCGGGCCUUGUACACACCGCCCGUCACACCAUGAGAGUUUGUAACACCCAAAGUCGGUGGGGUAACCUUUUAGGAACCAGCCGCCUAAGG